GACGAACGCUGGCGGCGUGCUUAACACAUGCAAGUCGAGCGGUAAGGCCCUUUCGGGGGUACACGAGCGGCGAACGGGUGAGUAACACGUGGGUGACCUGCCCUCAGCUCUGGGAUAAGCCUGGGAAACCGGGUCUAAUACUGGAUAUGACUCCAUGACGCAUGUUGGUGGGGUGGAAAGCCUUGUGCGGCUGAGGAUGGGCCCGCGGCCUAUCAGCUUGUUGGUGGGGUGAGGCCUACCAAGGCGACGACGGGUAGCCGGCCUGAGAGGGCGACCGGCCACACUGGGACUGAGACACGGCCCAGACUCCUACGGGAGGCAGCAGUGGGGAAUCUUGCGCAAUGGGCGAAAGCCUGACGCAGCGACGCCGCGUGAGGGAUGACGGCCUCGGUGUAACUAC
rnacentral:rRNA from 1 species